UGGCUUGAAAUUGUAGCUCUCGGUUGUUUCUAGUUUAGGGUUUCAAUUUCUUGAAUGCUUCGAUUUAGGUUUCAUUGAAAAGUGGUGUAGGAUAGUUAUUCUGACUGUCGUGUUAGAUUUAGAAUCUAGAGCACCUAGACAUUUGUUCUGAAAUACUGAUGGGUUGCUUUCCUUUUGCAGAUAUAUGUCCCAACUAAUCCUCGUGGUGCAGAAUUAUUGCCACCAGGGAUUGUGGUUUCGGAAUCAGAUUUUUAUUUAGGAAGGUGUGGGGUGAAUAAAGUGAGGUAUGAAGCAAAUAUCUCUAAUGAAGUUGUUUAAUCCUGAUUUAACAAAAAAAGAUAAGAGUGUGGUAAUUGUAUAGAUUAAAUUACCUAUAACUGUCUCUUGUUAAAAGAAAGAGUGAAAGACACUCUGCAAUUUUCUUGCCCUUCGUGAGCUAUUCUACUAUCAUAUCAUUGUAGCACGAACUUCAUACUAGAUACUUUAAUGUUGCUAAUGGUGCUUCAGGAUCAAUUUUAGUUUCUUAUUUGUGCUCUUUAAAAAAAGAAUCUAGGACAUCAAAUAAACUAUUUUCUUGCAGGUUCUAAAUAAAGAUAGUGAGGUUCAUCCACAUCAGUACUUAUAUCUCCAUUCCAGUUCUAAUCAUUAGUCUCA
rnacentral:lncRNA from 1 species